ACACGACUACAUUAGAUACCCCUGUAGUCCUAGCCGUAAACGAUACUCGCUAGGUGUCGGCCACGGUGCGACCGUUGUCGGUGCCGUAGGGAAGCCGUGAAGCGAGCCACCUGGGAAGUACGGCCGCAAGGCUGAAAACUUUAAAGGAAUUGGCGGGGGAGCACAACAACGGGUGGAGCUUGCGGUUUAAUUGGAUUCAACGCCGGAAAUCUUACCGGGACCGACAGCAACAUGAAGGCCAAGCUGAAGACUUUGCCGGAUUAGCUG
rnacentral:rRNA from 1 species